AUAACAUUUCUCUCUAUCUUCAAUUCCACAUAUGUGAUAAUUAAUAUAUUGCCUUGUAUGGAUGGCUUCACUCAAAACAAUACAUAUGCCUUCUGUUUAUUUGCCUGACAAAUGACCAUCAGAUGAAUCAAUCAAAUAGGGGGAAUUGGGGAGCAUUUCAAACCAAAACAAAGAAUUGAUCCUAACUACUAAAGUGCAGCAGCUUUAAAGCCUCUGAAUUAUUUUGCUCUUACUCCACCAGGAAAGUGCAGGCCUUCAAGAACCAAAAGAUUUAAGAGUGGAACUAAAAGAACAGCAUUCAAAUCCUCGUAAGCCAUGUUGUUUAUAUCCUUAAACCCAACAAAUGAUUGUGGAAUAAUAACCUUGAUCUUAUUCAACUCCUCAGCUAAAUUUCGUCUUCUUCCCUUCAUCCUCAGAUCUGCACACGUCAAGUACACUUCGAAUUGAACAAUACCAUGCAUUGAUUUCAGUUUAAGCUGUCCAUAUAAGUAAAGCAGCAGGUCAGUCACAAGAACCGAAUAAAGAGAUACUAUCCAACUAAUAUAUAAACGAUGAAUCAUGAAGAGAUAGUACAAUUUCUCCUCGCACACACAAAAAUAAAAAAUCCUAAAAUAACUUAGCUACAGAUUAUGAAGCAAGUAGGCCCUUAGAUUCACACAAUUUUAACAUCAUGCACAUGUUAAAUGGUAUACUCAUCACUGUACAGAGUAUGUUGAGAUUAGAAAUAAAAAUAGCAGAGCAAGGCAUUAGAUUGCAGAGAUUAACAAUGGAAACAUCGUAACAAAUACAACAUUUGUAGGGUGGAGGAGGAGCUCACCUAGAGCUUAGGCCCUCUGCCCGCCAUAUAGGCAAAGGAGAUGCGUCUUGACAGCACUCUGAAUAAAAUGUAUGGCUACGAGCAAAGGAAAGGUCUACGGAGUGAGGACAAGCAGAGAGCACGAGCAAGGGAUCAGACAUGCAGUAAAUUCCUGCACAAAAGACAGACUUUCGACCCAGUUUCUAUGCUCCAUGUACUACCCUGCAAACCAGAAUGAAAAUCACCAUAUACAUUUUCAUUGCAGCAACAUGUAACCCGUUAAUAAACAGAGACCACUUUCUGUACAUCCACAUAUACCCACUAAAACACAAAGAGAACUGUUGUGCUUGUUCCAUUACUGUCUGCGUGUGUCCACAUACACUUAUUAGAAUAAACGGAGAAUACUAAGAGGCAGCAAGAGUAUAGUAUCGCUCGUGAAGAACUAACCAAUGUUCAGAAAGAGGUGACUACAGAAUUGAUAGGGCAAUAGUAGCUACACCUGGGACUCCACCCCAACACCUCUCCUCAUGAAUGACCUUAAC
rnacentral:lncRNA from 1 species